rnacentral:rRNA from 1 species
GUUGAACGCUGGCGGCAUGCUUUACACAUGCCAGUCGGACGGUAAGUGGCGUUUCCAGUGGCGGACGGGGGAGUAACGCGUAUGAACCUGCCCUUGGUAGGGGAACAACGGCUGGAAACGGCUGCUAAUACCCCGUAGGCCGAGGAGCAUCAGGGGGCAUCCGCCCGGGGCGGGGCUCGCGACUGCGUAGCGAGCUGGCGAGGCAAGAGCUUACCAAAGCGAUGAAAAGGCGCCAGUCCGAGAGGGUCAUCCACCACACUGGUACUGGAAGCCGGCCCGGACUACUACGGAAAGCAGCAGUAGGGAAGAUUCCGCAAUGGGGGGAAGCCUAAGGAAGCCAUGCGGCGGGGAAGUAGUAGGCCUAGGGGUCAUGAGCUUCUUUUCCCGAAGAAGAGGCAAUGACGGUACCGGGAGAAUAAGCACCGGCUAACUCCGUG